CAGAGUUGCAAAACUCCCACAAACCAUCGCGAAUCUUACCCGUACGGUUGCCUCGGCGCUGGCGGUCCGGAAGGCCCUCGGGCCCCCCGGAUCCUCGGGUCUCCCGCUCGCGGGAGGCUGCCCGCCGGAGUGCCGAAGCCAAACUCUUGAUAUUUUAUGUCUCUCUGAGUAAACUUUUAAAUAAGUCA
rnacentral:misc_RNA from 1 species